rnacentral:tRNA from 1 species
GCCAUAGUUCAUGGGUAGAGCAUCUGCUUUGCAUGCAGAGGAUCCCAAGUUCAAUCCCUGGCAUCUCCA